rnacentral:rRNA from 1 species
UUUAUUGGAGAGUUUGAUCCUGGCUCAGGACGAACGCUGGCGGCGUGCCUAAUACAUGCAAGUCGAGCGGACCUGAUGGAGUGCUUGCACUCCUGACGGUUAGCGGCGGACGGGUGAGUAACACGUAGGCAACCUGCCCGUAAGACCGGGAUAACUACCGGAAACGGUAGCUAAUACCGGAUAAUCAAGUCUUCCGCAUGGGAGACUUGGGAAAGGCGGAGCAA